UUCUAUCACUUGCUGUCAAACCACUGAAAUUCAUAUUAAAUUGGUAUUCAAAAUGGGGUUGCAGAGAAAAAGUGUCAGAGUGGAUUGGGACCAGCAAGAAGUUAUUGUCCUGGGAUAGAGAGCUGCAAUGCACGUUUAACGAUAGCAGUAUGUCUUGUUCCUUGGGAAUCAGAUGUCUUACUUCAUCAGAUAGCUAGACUUUAGAGGAAUUCAUCAUUUUAAAUGUCAGAAUAUCAGAUUGAGUUAUCGAUUCCUUAUGGCCUUCAGUAAAGGUCAGAGAAGUGGCAAGCCUCAGCCGACGCUGCUCCAUGGAAGUCACCAGAAGAGAAUAGAGGACAGCCCACUGACGCAGAGAAUCAGAGCACAGCAUCCACUAUUAGUUUGGACAAACUGUGGUGGCCACCAGGGGUGUAUGUGUGUGAGAGAGAGAGAGAUUAUGAACUGAUUGAAAAACUGAAGAUUACCAGCAACUGGAAUGAGGAUAUAUAGGAAGGAGGAGCCAGAAAUGUGAGCAAGCCCUUCAGAAUGUACCUUCUCCACCACCAAGUGAAAAUGAAGAUUCCUCCCCUUGUAAUACUCGGUUGGCUGUGAUGCAACAUUUUGGCAAGACUCCAAAGCAGAUUUGCGAAGAAAUGCACCCUGAAACCCAUGCCAAUACUCCAAUCUAUAAUAUCCUGCUCAUGCUCUGAGGUCAUUAAGGAAAAAAAUCAUGAAAAUAGGUGGAGCCCCAGAAUUUCCUCUAAAAAUCAGAAGACUCACAGAGAGAAUCUCCGAGAUGCUCUGGAAGAACAAUGGCCAAGCAAAAUUCUCCCGGAGGACAGAGUCUGUGGCAGUCUUUCUGGGUGACCAG
rnacentral:lncRNA from 1 species